GGGCGAUGAUUGGGGUGAAGUCGUAACAAGGUAGCCGUAUCGGAAGGUGCGGCUGGAUCACCUCCUUUCUAGGGAA
rnacentral:rRNA from 1 species